CCACAUUUACAACAGCAUUUCGAGAGAGAGAGAGAGACUCUUUAUUAGAAAAACGGAGAUUUUUGCCGGUGCGUAUACAACCGCUGGCAUGCUACUCUGUAUAGGGAUGGGGAAUUGGAUUAAACGAUUGCAGAGGAGAGUGGGAAAAAAAGAGAAUAA
rnacentral:lncRNA from 1 species